rnacentral:rRNA from 1 species
GACGAACGCUGACGGCGUGCUUAACACAUGCAAGUCGAAGGGAGUGGCGAACGGGUGAGUAACACGUGAGUAACCUGCCCUUUUCUUUGGGAUAAGCCUGGGAAACUGGGUCUAAUACGGGAUGGCUUGGGAUGGGCUCGCGGCUUGUCAGCUUGUUGGUGGGGUGAUGGCUUACCAAGGCUUUGACGGGUGGCCGGCCUGAGAGGGUGGUCUGGCACACAGGUACUGUGAUACGGCCCAGACUCCUACGGGGGGCGGCAGUGGGGGAUAUUGCACAAUGGACGGAAGUCUGAUGCCGCGACGGCGUGUGGGGGAUGAAGGCCGUCGGGUUGUAAACCUCUGUCGCUAUCGAACGGGUAGGUGGAGAAGAAGCGCCGGCUAACUACGUGCCAGCAGCCGCGGUAAUUC